UACGAAGGGGGCUAGCGUUGCUCUGAAUUACUGGGCGUAAAGCGCACGUAGGCGGACUUUUAAGUCGGGGGUGAAAUCCUGGAGCUCAACUCCAGAACUGCCUUCGAACCUGAAAGUCUUGAGUUCGGGAGAGGUGAGUGGAACUGCGAGUGUAGAGGUGAAAUUCGUAGAUAUUCGCAAGAACACCAGUGGCGAAGGCGGCUCACUGGCCCGAUACUGACGCUGAGGUGCGAAAGCGUGGGGAGCAAACAGG
rnacentral:rRNA from 1 species